GACAGAGGGUGCAAACGUUGUUCGGAUUCAUUGGGCGUAAAGGGUGCGUAGGUGGCGCGCUAAGUCAGGUGUGAAAUUUCGGAGCUUAACUCCGAAACUGCAUUUGAUACUGGCGUGCUUGAGGACUGGAGAGGAGACUGGAAUUUACGGUGUAGCAGUGAAAUGCGUAGAGAUCGUAAGGAAGACCAGUGGCGAAGGCGGGUCUCUGGACAGUUCCUGACACUGAGGCACGAAGGCCAGGGGAGCAAACGGG
rnacentral:rRNA from 1 species